GGAGGUAGUCCGGCUGGACGAGGACACCGUUUUGAAAACGGCUGGCGGUGCGAAUCGCUUGGGGGUUCGAGUCCCUCUGCCUCCG
rnacentral:tRNA from 1 species